GACGAACGCUGGCGGCGUGCUUAACACAUGCAAGUCGAACGGAAAGGCCCUGCUUUUGUGGGGUGCUCGAGUGGCGAACGGGUGAUUAACACGUGAGUAACCUGCCCUUGACUUUGGGAUAACUUCAGGAAACUGGGGCUAAUACCUGAUAGGAGCUCCUGCUGCAUGGUGGGGGUUGGAAAGUUUCGGCGGUUGGGGAUGGACUCGCGGCUUAUCAGCUUGUUGGUGGGGUAGUGGCUUACCAAGGCUUUGACGGGUAGCCGGCCUGAGAGGGUGACCGGCCACAUUGGGACUGAGAUACGGCCCAGACUACUACGGGAGGCAGCAGUGGGGAAUAGUGCACAAUGGGCGGAAGCCUGAUGCAGCAACGCCGCGUGCGGGAUGACGGCCUUCGGGUUGUAAACCGCUUUCGCCUGUGACGAAGAGUGAGUGACGGUAAUGGGUAAAGAAGCACCGGCUAACUACGUG
rnacentral:rRNA from 1 species